rnacentral:rRNA from 1 species
UACGUAGGGGGCAAGCGUUGUCCGGAUUUAUUGGGCGUAAAGAGCGUGUAGGCGGUUAGAUAGGUCCGUUGUGAAAACUCGAGGCUCAACCUCGAGACGUCGAUGGAAACCAUCUGGCUAGAGUCCGGAAGAGGAGAGUGGAAUUCCUAGUGUAGAGGUGAAAUUCGUAGAUAUUAGGAAGAACACCGGUGGCGAAGGCGGCCCACUGGUCCGGUACUGACGCUGAGGUGCGAAAGCGUGGGGAGCAAACAGG